rnacentral:rRNA from 1 species
AUUGAACGCUGGCGGCAUGCUUUACACAUGCAAGUCGGACGAGUGGCGGACGGGUGAGUAAUAUAUCGGAACGUACCGAGUAAUGGGGGAUAACUAAUCGAAAGAUUAGCUAAUACCGCAUAUUAUUCGAGCGGCCGAUAUCGUAUUAGCUAGUUGGUGGGGUAAAGGCCUACCAAGGCGACGAUCCGUAGCGGGUCUGAGAGGAUGAUCCGCCACACUGGAACUGAGACACGGCCCAGACUCCUACGGGAGGCAGCAGUGGGGAAUUUUGCACAAUGGGCGCAAGCCUGAUCCAGCCAUGCCGCGUGUAUGAAGAAGGCCUUCGGGUUGUAAAGGACUUUUGGCGGGGAAGCGUUACCCGAAGAAUAAGCACCGGCUAACUACGUGCCAGCAGCCGCGGUAAUAC